AAUAGAAGUGAUGAGCAGUGAUUACCGCCCCAGUCUGAUUUAAAGCUGACUGAUUGGUUAACCCUCUGAUCUAUC